AGGGAAUCUUCCACAAUGGACGCAAGUCUGAUGGAGCAACGCCGCGUGAGUGAAGAAGGUCUUCGGAUCGUAAAGCUCUGUUGUUGGUGAAGAAGGAUAGAGGCAGUAACUGGUCUUUAUUUGACGGUAAUCAACCAGAAAGUCACGGCUAACUACGUGCCAGCAGCCGCGGUAAUACGUAGGUGGCAAGCGUUGUCCGGAUUUAUUGGGCGUAAAGCGAGCGCAGGCGGAAUGAUAAGUCUGAUGUGAAAGCCCACGGCUCAACCGUGGAACUG
rnacentral:rRNA from 1 species